AAAGGAAAUUUUGCUUAAUAACUUUAUUAAAGAAAUUGUUAGCCACAUAAAAUAAUCAGUUGUUUAGGGUACAUCAUAAACAGUGCUAUCUUAAUUUAUUGUAACACAUACUUGAGUGUUGAGAAAAUGUCAUACUAAUAAGAUCCUUUGCUGCUUAACCAUGUGUAAAUGUUUAAAAAGAAAAAAGCUCUGAUAUCAGUAGUAUGACCAAUUAUGAUGGGGUGAAUUUUGCAGGUCUCAUUCAGGAACGUCGCCUGAUAACACUGCACCACCACCUCCCCCUCCAAGGCCACAGCCCUCUCAUUCUAGAUCAUCAUCUUUAGAUAUGAAUCGGACCUUUACAGUCACCACAGGACAACAACAGGCUGGAGUUGUUGCCCAUCCUCCUGCAGUGCCUCCAAGACCACAGCCCUCACAGGCUCCUGGUCCUGCUGUGCAUCGCCCAGUGGAUGCCGAUGGCCUCAUAACUCAUACUAGUACCUCACCUCAGCAGAUACCAGAGCAACCAAAUUUUGCAGAUUUCAGCCAGUUUGAAGUAUUUGCUGCAUCAAAUGUAAACGAAGAACAAGAUGAUGAAGCCGAGAAACAUCCGGAAGUCCUGCCGGUCAGUUUUCGAGGGCUUGGCUAAUUUUCUGCAGGCAGUCACUUCCCAUACCAUGUUGUGUCAACAAAGCAGAUAUUAGAGGGGACAUCAGCUGAAAAAGCUUCUGAUCCUGCAAGCUCUCUUCGAGUUGCCAAAACAGAUAGUAAAACUGAAGAAAAGACAGCUGCUAGUGCUCCUGCCAAUGUGAGCAAAGGCACAACACCACUUGCUCCACCACCUAAACCUGUUCGAAGAAGAUUAAAAUCAGAAGAUGAAUUAAGGCCAGAAGUUGAUGAACAUACACAAAAGACGGGUGUCUUAGCUGCUGUUCUUGCAUCACAACCUUCUAUUCCCAGAUCUGUUGGGAAAGAUAAGAAAGCUAUUCAGGCAUCAAUUAGACGUAAUAAGGAAACCAACACCGUUUUGGCCAGAUUGAAUAGCGAAUUGCAGCAACAAUUAAAGGAUGUUCUUGAGGAGAGAAUUUCCCUGGAAGUUCAACUGGAACAACUUCGACCAUUCUCUCACCUAUAAGCCAAUUGCCGUUAACUGUGAACAUACUUGUUUUUAAGUGGUUUUGGGUUCAAAGCCAAUUUGGAGACCCAAACAUUCAGCUCACUGCUUAACUCAACAUUAAAUUUUAUGAUUCUGUUUUGCCCUAUAUGUUCACCAUUGUAUUUAAGUAUCUUUUAUUUUUUAAUUUCGACAAUAAAAAGGUCAGGAUGACG
rnacentral:sRNA from 1 species